rnacentral:rRNA from 1 species
AGUGAACGCUGGCGGUAGGCCUAACACAUGCAAGUCGAACGGCAGCACAGGAGAGCUUGCUCUCUGGGUGGCGAGUGGCGGACGGGUGAGGAAUACAUCGGAAUCUACCUUUUCGUGGGGGAUAACGUAGGGAAACUUACGCUAAUACCGCAUACGACCUACGGGUGAAAGUGGGGGACCGCAAGGCCUCACGCGAUUAGAUGAGCCGAUGUCCGAUUAGCUAGUUGGCGGGGUAAUGGCCCACCAAGGCGACGAUCGGUAGCUUGUCUGAGAGGAUGAUCCUCCACAAUGGAACUGAGACACGGUCCAGACUCCGUCGGGAGGCAGCAGUGGAGAAUAUUGGACAAUGGCGCAAGCCUGAUCCAGCCAUACCGCGUGGGUGAAGAAGGCCUUCGGGUUGUAAAGCCCUUUUGUUGGCAAAGAAAUCCUGUCGAUCAAUACUCGGUGGGGAUGACGGUACCCAAAGAAUAAGCACCGGCUAACUUCGUGCCAGCCGCCGCGGUAAUAC